rnacentral:rRNA from 1 species
AAUAGAUACCCCGGUAGUCCACGCCGUAAACGUUGGAACUAGAUGUAGGGACCAUUCCACGGUUUCUGUGUCGCAGCUAACGCAUUAAGUUCCCCGCCUGGGGAGUACGGCCGCAAGGCUAAAACUCAAAGGAAUUGACGGGGGCCCGCACAAGCGGCGGAGCAUGCGGAUUAAUUCGAUGCAACGCGAAGAACCUUACCAAGGCUUGACAUACACGAGAACGGGCCAGAAAUGGUCAACUCUUUGGACACUCGUGAACAGGUGGUGCAUGGUUGUCGUCAGCUCGUGUCGUGAGAUGUUGGGUUAAGUCCCGCAACGAGCGCAACCCUCGUUCUAUGUUGCCAGCACGUAAUGGUGGGAACUCAUAGGAGACUGCCGGGGUCAACUCGGAGGAAGGUGGGGAUGACGUCAAAUCAUCAUGCCCCUUGUGUCUUGGGCUUCACGCAUGCUACAAUGGCCGAUACAAAGGGCUGCAAUACCGCAAGGUGGAGCGAAUCCCAAAAAGUCGGUCUCAGUUCGGAUUGAGGUCUGC